rnacentral:rRNA from 1 species
GGGUCAGUAGGCUGGUCGUGCCAUCGGUACGUACUGGUCUCACUGAUUCCUCCUUCCUGAAGAACCGUAAUGCCAUUAAUUUGGUGUUGCGGGGAAACAGGACUGUUACUUUUAAAAAAUUAGAGUGUUUAAUGCAAGCUAACGCUUGAAUACAUUAGCAUGGAAUAAUGAAAUAGGACGAUCGAUCCUAUUUUGUUGGUUUCUAGGAUUGACGUA